rnacentral:tRNA from 1 species
GAAGGUUAGUCUUUAGUAAAAGAUGUAGAGUUGUCAGCUCUGAGAGGUUAUUUUACAUAACACCUUCUUA